AGUGUAGCUCAAACUGCAGUGUGUGUGACGAUGUAUCUGGCAUCUGCAACGAAUGCACAACAAAUACAGUUUAUGGGUUGUUUUGCAAUUUGACGUGUAGUCCAAACUGUAUAGAAUCGCAAUGCAACAGAACGACAGGUGAUUGUAAUAAUGGAUGCAUUACAAAUAUGUAUGGCCAAAAAUGUGAGUAUAAAUGUCCAGAAUCAUGUGAAGUAAGCGGCGAGAAUUCCAAAUGCGACUUUGAAGGUCAAUGCCUAUAUAAUUGCAAAGCGGGUUACCAAGGACGAUCUUGUAAUAUUGUUGACGCAAAGGCAAGUAAAGUUUCAACAGCCGCAGUUGCUGGAGGCGUGGUUGGAAGUCUGAUUCUUACUAUGGCGAUUUUUUUACUCAUUGUCCUAACCCGGCGGAGGGAAAAGAACAAACAACGAAACUCUUCCCAACAUGUUUAUGUUAAUGUUUCCGACACUAGCACUUCAGUUCUUGUAAAAAGCGAUGAAACGGUGCCUCAUGGUCCCUUUGUCGAGAUGGUGAAUCCAAACUACAAAUAUUCCCCCAAAAUAGAAAAAAAGACACAAACACAAGAAAAGCAAUCAGGCGAAAAAAGAAAGCUACCAGGAAGACAACCUGCAAA